rnacentral:lncRNA from 1 species
CGAUAUAACUUCCAAUAUGCUGAAAUUGAAUAAAACAAAGAAAGGAGUCAAUAUUGGUUGAGAGGGAUAAAUAAUAAACUUAGAAACAGAAAAGAAAAAAAAGUUGAACCGAAAAAAAAAGAAACAAAAGAAAAUAAAGAAAAACAGAGGAUUUUGGAGAUUACUUACAGGUCAAGAAAGAGAGGAUUAAGAUAUUGGUGUUAUUGUUGAGUCAUAACAGCAUCAACCCUAAUUGAAGCAGACAAGGAGGACUGUGAUUGUAAACGACGAUUGGGCCUUCUUCUCUCCGACGAUAGGGUUUGUGGAGAUUAUGAUCGACGUAUGCUGCGGCCUCACAUCCACCGCCACGGCCUCACACGAAAAUAGUUGCGAUUCAAAGCUUUAGAAGAACACGAAAAGCUAUGCUUGCUUUAGAACUUUCUCACUCAAGAU